AACGAACGCUGGCGGCAUGCCUAACACAUGCAAGUCGAACGAGACCUUCGGGUCUAGUGGCGCACGGGUGCGUAACGCGUGGUAACCUGCCCUUAGGUUCGGAAUAACUCCCCGAAAGGGGUGCUAAUACCGGAUAAUGUCUUCGGACCAAAGAUUUAUCGCCUUUGGAUGGGCCCGCGUUGGAUUAGCUAGUUGGUAGGGUAAAAGCCUACCAAGGCGACGAUCCAUAGCUGGUCUGAGAGGAUGAUCAGCCACACUGGGACUGAGACACGGCCCAGACUCCUACGGGAGGCAGCAGUGGGGAAUAUUGGACAAUGGGCGAAAGCCUGAUCCAGCAAUGCCGCGUGAGUGAUGAAGGCCUUAGGGUUGUAAAGCUCUUUUACACGGGAUGAUAAUGACAGUAACGGGAGAAUAAGCUCCGGCUAACUCCGUG
rnacentral:rRNA from 1 species